GGAUUAGAUACCCUGGUAGUCCACGCCGUAAACGAUGUCUACUAGCCGUUGGGGAACUUGAUUCUUUAGUGGCGCAGCUAACGCACUAAGUAGACCGCCUGGGGAGUACGGCCGCAAGGCUAAAACUCAAAGGAAUUGACGGGGCCCCGCACAAGCGGCGGAGCAUGCUGAUUAAUUCGAUGCAACGCGAAGAACCUUACCAAGGCUUGACAUAUACCGAAAACUGCUGGAGACAGCAGGUCCGCAAGGGCGGUAUACAGGUGGUGCAUGGUUGUCGUCAGCUCGUGCCG
rnacentral:rRNA from 1 species